rnacentral:tRNA from 5 species
ACUUCGAUAGCUUAGUAGGUAGAGCACUCGGCUGAUAACUGAGAGGUCACUGGUUCGAUCCCAGUUCGAAGUACCA